UACAGAGGUCCCAAGCGUUGUUCGGAUUCAUUGGGCGUAAAGGGUGCGUAGGUGGCAGGGUAAGUCGGACGUGAAAUCCCUCGGCUCAACCGAGGAACUGCGUCCGAUACUGGCAGGCUGGAAUCCGGGAGAGGGAUGUGGAAUUCCGAGGUGUAGCGGUGAAAUGCGUAGAGAUCAGCAGGAACACCCGUGGCGAAGGCGGCUCCUGGGCCGCGACCUGACGCUGAGAC
rnacentral:rRNA from 1 species